GCGCAAUCAUGGCGUACGUGGUCAAUGGUGAGUGGGCGCUUCGCGUGUCGCUUUCAAAUCGUAACAUUGCGGCUUUUACUUGCCCCACCGAGUCUCAAUUCAUCCCCACACACACAUAAGACGCGUCAUGGAGAGUCGGCAUCAGUCGUUGUGGCGGCUGUCGGCGAUACCGGAACUGUUUUGGAGCGUCGUGAACUUCGUAGGGCUCUUCUUUCAGACAAUGUUCCAGCCAGAUUUGACAAGAAGGGGUCGUGGAUACACAUCAAACUACACUCCGUCGCAGGAUGGGAGAGGGCCCCCACCAGGAGGUCCCCAGAGACGGAUGGGCAGGAUAAACCAUGGUAGUGGACCCGGUGCACCACCCAUGGCAGGGGGUGGAUGAGGAAGGUAAACGCCUGUCUCAAAAGGCAGGCGCCGAGGGUGGUGGUGUCCCUGGAUAUAGGCGCUUGUUCACAGAUGUCCUAAUCACCGGGCUGUGCACGUGAACUUUGGCGCUGUGACGGGUCACUCUUCACCCUCUCCCAGGAGUUGCGCUGCAGCCGUGGCUGCCGAGUGUGACGUCCCGUUGGCAAAGCCCACCGAUAGCGUGGAACCAGCGGGACUGAAAAUGCAAACUCCAAUCUCCCAUUGUAACAUCAAGUCUAAACUUUUCUGAUCAUUAUUGUUACAUCCUACCAAAAGCUUUGUCCAGUGCUGAGAUGCAAAGCUCUUCAACAAAAUAGCUUUUGCUUGAGGGAUACCUUGGUUUGUGAGUUGAUGCACUGCAACGAUAUAAUUUUUGCUACUGAAAAGCAAUGUCUCAUUCAUGAGCAACAAUUGUAGCUCUCCGAUUUUCUUUGUAACCAUUAAUAUACUUCUUUUAAGUAAAGCAUGUGGAGAUCUGGCUUAAGUGGGUUCCAUAAUUUUGUAAAAAGAACCCAAUUUAUAUUUCGUUAUGUUAAAUUUAAGAGACAACUUUGAUAUCCAGAAGAAACUUACUGUUUAUCUAAACUCCACAUAUUGGUGAAUCCUGUGUUAAUACCACUGCAAAUGUCGAUUUAAAAACUUGUCAACAUCCGUUCUUUCAGAAGUUUAUUUACAGUUGUUGACUUAGUAAGAGGUUUCCAUGGGAAAAUUCACAACACCUGUCGGCAACAACGUCGGUGGAGGUAAGAGCACUGCAAUGGGUUGAGUUACCUAUGGGCUACCACAGUUGAACCGCAAAGGUGAGCUGGAACGCAACAGUUUUCACAGCUUGCCAUUCGGGUGCGAGUUCGGUCAUGUUAAUCGCAUGUUCACGACACAUGUCCGACCCGCACCCGAACAGCAAUCCGCUGCGUGGGUCAUCCACGGUGACCCGACCUCUUGCAGGACUCUGGUGGGAUGUAAAGCUGUCUUAAAUUGGUGGUGCGGUUAUAAGACACUCUAAAGCAAUGACAUUUACAUCUUGUUGAAGCAUCCUUCACUGGUUAAUGUGCUCCUGUGGUUGCUGUUGCUCUUGUAGGCUAUGUGGCAAAUAUGCCAUUAUAAUUAAUUUACAACUUUAGAUGACACUUUAGAAAAUAAAUGUAAGUGUUACUCUUGAUUUUAGUCAAAAGAGUACGAUUUGGUGCUGAGGAUAAAUUGGUACCAAUGGUCUUGCCUUUUGUGGGGACGAUGGAAAAUUACAAAUAGCUUGUUCAUGCUUAUGGUUCAUGAGGACUGUAACCUCUGUGCAAUAAAACAUUUACCUUUUUAAAACAAAUUAAAUGUACACGAAAGUUGAAACUGUAAUCUUGGGGUUUCAUUCCUUAAGCAAAAACGUUAUUCCUGCAACAAAAUCCCAUGUAAUUUGCACACGUUUUCAAAAGCUAGCCAGGUGCAGUUUCAGCACGGACGGAACUUGAGUCAAGGCAUAGCGCUGGAGGGAGUCAUGGGCUCCAUUUGGCGUCAGAUUUUGUUCGUAUCGGUAAUGGACAGGAGCGGGAGUGUGAGAUGAGGGUCACGAACAUGGGUCCCACACUCUCGACAUGUUGCGGGAAGAGAAAGGAUGGGGGUCUGUGAUGAUGGUCGGUGUUCCUCUUAAUCUGCUUCGAGGAGUAGUGGGAAGGGAUUGGAGGCCUUUGAUGGGGGCUCCGUGUUGGAGCUCUGGCCAUGUCAAUAUCCGAGGAGGCGUGCACAUGAGAGGUGGGAGUCUGUCAUGGAGGUUGUUAACAUCGUUCCAUCUCUGUAUUAAGACAGGAUGAGUAUGACUGCCCUACAGCCCAUGUACCAGAAGUUCUAGAUACCAGAUUACUAAUACCAAGAAAGGUGGGCAGGAGGACCCGUUGCAGAUCCUACAGGGCUCGUACGAACUAGGCGAUGCCCCUGGCAGCUGUUGUCUGGUCCAGGCUGAACCAGCCCUGUGCUCCUGUAAACAAAUACAUUCUUGAUGUGUUCUUUUAGUAUUUUCUUUUUUUUAUAUAUAUACUGACGAAUGGAAGCCAAGAGCCAGUAGGAAUGUUAGGGCAUAGUAAGUCGAGGGAGAUGCAGGAGACUGCAGUCAGCCAAGCAAGCCACUCAAAUCCCAGGUAAAAUUGAAAUCGGGCAAACAGGCUUGUGGAUGUGGGCCUAAUGCCAAGCAAGCAACUAUUAUUCUGUUUAAUUUAGUUAACAAAAUGAUAGUAAUGUCAGCAAUAACACGGCCAAAUGCAUCCUUUUGUUUUAAAGGAAGUUUUCCAUACCCACACUGCCUCUCCGAAGAUGGUGCCCUGAUUUGUGGAGGGAAGGUGGGUUUGUGGCUGCCACAGCACAGAAAUACAUCACAUACACUAUCCAAGCAGAACUAAAUUUAUAAAGUUUAUUUAUCAUUGAUGCGUUAGGUGCAAGAAGCAGUUGAAAAUCGAUAUUUAAAUUAACAGGAGUCCCUCGCGAAAUGCACCCCCCUCCCCAUCGCGCAAAUUUGCAGCUAAGCGAUUCAUCUUAUAGGGACUUCACACGUUUCUGCUAUGCCUUCCACAGUGGUGUGCUCAAUUUUUAUUUACAUUUUUCCAAAUAAUUUUCAAGGACAAAAUUUCAAAGUGAAAAUAAAAAUUCUGAUGGCGUCACCGCCGUUGUAGCAGCGCCGGGUGUCACGGGCCCGGGCGUCGCUCCUUGCAACUGCUGCCCACGGAAGCAUUCAAUAAGCCCUGAAGUUACUCCUUAUUAAGUAAUCUUUGUCAGUAGUAAUCUUUUCAAUCUUAAUUAUUAUUUGUUAUUCAUGUUAAUAUAAAGUGUGACUAAUAUGUUUUUUUGUAAAUACAGGACUAAAGUAAUUUAAAAAAUACAUUCUUCCGAAACGCAAUCCCCCCUUAUAACAUGUAUGUCUAUGGGACAAUAGACUUCAUACAGCGCGAUUCGAGUUGUGUGCUGUUUUUCAAAAACGCGUGUCGCUCGUUAUGAGGGACACAUGAUAUUCGACAACAUUCCAAUGCAACAUAUGCUUAAUCGACAUUUAAAUUCAGCAUAUGUGGAUAUGUAUGAUUAUAAUUAAACAUGUUUAAAAACUUUUAGAUUUAAUAAUAGCAAACAUUGUUUGCUAUUAUUAAUAGCAAACAUUGUUAAUCAAUAUUUUAACGUGCAAUAAACGUACUAUUUUUAAUUCUUUAAAAUGUUGCAAAAUUGACGUCAUAGUGACGCCUUGGUGAUGGCAUUGGGAUGUCACGUGACAUCAAAAUGACAUCCAAUGGAUAAAGUUACCCCUGCAAGAGGAAUGUGAAAUUUACAACACUGCAUCAGGGUGUACUGGAUUGUGUUAUUGUACUGUUAAUGGUUUGUGCUGGUCUGUGUUGUUUCUUCGUGUGGUACUGUAAUGUGUUACAUGUUGCUGUUAUUUUUUGUUAAAUUCAUGUUUUCUGAUGCCUAGUACAGUCCCAACAAUAAACAUUGCCCAAAGUUA